rnacentral:lncRNA from 1 species
AGCUCUGGACUCUGCAGACCUUCAGGUUGAAUUGCUGGGUGAAAGGGCCCAAGGUGAAUUUUGACACUCCAGGUGUCCCCAGGAAGGACUGCUCCUGGGAUGAUAGGCCCUAGAGGGGGCUCCCCGUGGAGAGGGGGAUACUCAUGGGUCUCCCUCACCCCCUACCCCACAGCUACCCCUGUCCAGCAGCCACCUGAAUGUGUACAGCAGCGACCCCCAGGUCACAGCCUCCCUGGUGGGCGUCACCAGCAGCUCCUGCCCUGCGGACCUGACCCAGAAGCGAGAGCUCACAGGUACUGCCUCCCUCUACCCCUGUGCCUUUGAAUACCCGACUCCUCCCUCCUUUUCUCCCUCCCUCCCAGCUCCUCUCUCCUUCUCUUUUGGCCUCCAGAUGCUGAGAGCAGGGCCCUGGCCAAGGAGCGGCAGAAGAAAGACAAUCACAACUUAAUUGAAAGGAGACGAAGGUUCAACAUCAAUGACCGCAUCAAGGAGUUGGGAAUGCUGAUCCCCAAGGCCAAUGACCU